rnacentral:rRNA from 1 species
AGUGAACGCUGGCGGUAGGCCUAACACAUGCAAGUCGAACGGCAGCACAGUCAGAGCUUGCUCUUACGGGUGGCGAGUGGCGGACGGGUGAGGAAUACAUCGGAAUCUACUUUUUCGUGGGGGAUAAAGUAGGGAAACUUACGCCAAUACCGCAUACGAUCUACGGGUGAAAGCAGGGGAUCUUCGGAUCUUGCGCGAUCGAAUGAGCCGAUGUCGGAUUAGCUAGUUGGCGGGGUAAAGGCCCACCAAGGCGACGAUCCGUAGCUGGUCUGAGAGGAUGAUCAGCCACACUGGGACUGAGACACGGUCCAGACUCCUACGGGAGGCAGCAGUGGGGAAUAUUGGACAAUGGGCGCAAGCCUGAUCCAGCCAUGCCGCGUGGGAGAAGAAGGCCUUCGGGUUGUAAAGCCCUUUUGUUGGGAAAGAAAAGCAGCAGGUUAAUACCCCGCUGUGCUGACGGUACCCAAAGAAUAAGCACCGGCUAACUUCGUG